rnacentral:tRNA from 1 species
UAAGGAUUAGUUUAAAUUUAGAAUUGUUGACUGUUAAUCAAAAGGUUUAUCCUUAA